rnacentral:lncRNA from 1 species
UGCCCUCUCCUUCCCCAACCCGACAACAACUCGGCCACCAUUGGCCGAACCAUCAUCGGCCACCACUCCGGCGAUGAUGGCCGGCCAAGAGAGGGAGGGAUGAAAAAAAAAGUCGACAGAGGUCGGAAGGCCCUCUGCCUUCUUCUUCUUCCCUAAGACAAAGAACCCCCCCCCCUUCUUCCACCAUCAUUGACAGAGGGCCACCGUGAUAGUGGCUCGGCUCCCCC